GAUGAACGCUGGCGGCGUGCCUAAUACAUGCAAGUCGAGCGAACAGACGAGGAGCUUGCUCCUCUGACGUUAGCGGCGGACGGGUGAGUAACACGUGGAUAACCUACCUAUAAGACUGGGAUAACUUCGGGAAGCCGGAGCUAAUACCGGAUAAUAUAUUGAACCGCAUGGUUCAAUAGUGAAAGACGGUUUUGCUGUCACUUAUAGAUGGAUCCGCGCCGCAUUAGCUAGUUGGUAAGGUAACGGCUUACCAAGGCAACGAUGCGUAGCCGACCUGAGAGGGUGAUCGGCCACACUGGAACUGAGACACGGUCCAGACUCCUACGGGAGGCAGCAGUAGGGAAUCUUCCGCAAUGGGCGAAAGCCUGACGGAGCAACGCCGCGUGAGUGAUGAAGGUCUUCGGAUCGUAAAACUCUGUUAUUAGGGAAGAACAAAUGUGUAAGUAACUAUGCACGCCUUGACGGUACCUAAUCAGAAAGCCACGGCUAACUACGUG
rnacentral:rRNA from 1 species